rnacentral:siRNA from 1 species
AGCGGAUGUUGCUUAUAGGACUCC